GCCUGGCCUGAGCCCCUGGAGGCCCGGACUCUUGGCUCAGCGGCCCCAGGGGCCCCGUCCUGCUCUGCGGUCACCAGCAGCAGGAGGGGAUGAAGCUGGCCUAAAGCCAAGGGUGGUGACGUCAGCGAUCACAUUCGUGCGGUGUCAGACCCCUUCAGGGGGAGCCUCGAGCAGCGUGCGAGCUCCAGCUCAUAAAGCCUUUUCAGCAGCACUCAGAGCGCCAGUUCCUGAUAAGCCAGAGGCCCAGGGCCGCGGGUCUGGGAGCUCAGCUCUGAGGAGCAUCCACAGGACUCGCCGCAGUGGCUCAGCGUUCUUUGAGGCUGUCCAAGCCUGACUUUCAGACCAGAAGCAAGGCUGUCACACAAAUAUAAAAUGAAUUUGUAUCAACGAUUUAUGAGCUCAUUAACACAGGGGCCAAAGAGAGGGUGCAGCAGUCUGAGGAUCAGGACGGGUGAGUUAGAGGUGACACAGGCCAGGGUCCCACAGGCAAGAGAGCUGUGACCCCGGGGGGCGCCUCCUGCCGCUUGCAAGCCUCCGAGUUAACAUAACGUCACAAAGUCCGGACUCUUAAUUAAAGGAAAGAGCAAAGUUCACGGCACGUUCCCGGCUAAGAACACUUCUUGCAUGCCCUUGAAUAAUGCCCCAAGAUGACUUAAAGAGGAUAGCCUUUUCUUUUUCAACCUUUAAAUAAUUUUCCUUUUAAAAAGAUACAAAUAAAUGGAAAGAUAUUCCACACUCAUGGACUGGGAGGACUUGUGUGGUUAAAAUGUCCAUGCUACCCAAAGCAAUCUGCAGACUCAGUACAAUCGCAAUGGCAUUUUCCGUAGAAAUAGAACCGGCAGGGUCUGCCUUGGCCCAGUGGUUAAGACUGUGCUGGCACCGCAGGGGCCCCGGGUCCUGUCCCUGGUCGGGGAGCUAAGAUCCCACAG
rnacentral:lncRNA from 1 species